rnacentral:rRNA from 1 species
GAUGAACGCUGGCGGCGUGCCUAAUACAUGCAAGUCGAGCGAACGGACGAGAAGCUUGCUUCUCUGAUGUUAGCGGCGGACGGGUGAGUAACACGUGGAUAACCUACCUAUAAGACUGGGAUAACUUCGGGAAACCGGAGCUAAUACCGGAUAAGAUUUUGAACCGCGUGGUUCGAAAGUGAAAGACGGUCUUGGUGUAAGGUAUAGAUGGAUCCGCGCUGCAUUAGCUGGUUGGUAAGGUAACGGCUUACCAAGGCAACGAUGCAUAGCCGACCUGAGAGGGUGAUCGGCCACACUAGAACUGAGACACGGUCCAGACUCCUACGAGAGGCAGCAGUAGGGUAUCUUCCGCAGUAGUCGAAAGCCUGACGGAGCAGCGCCGCGUGAGUGACGAAGAUCUUCGGAUCGUAAUACUCUGUUAUUAGGGAAGAACAGAUGUGUAAGUAACUGUGCACAUCUUGACGGUACCUAAUAAGAAAGCCACGGCUAACUACGUG